rnacentral:tRNA from 1 species
GGCUCCAUGGUGUAGUGGUUAUCACGUCAGUUUUACAUGCCUUGCUGCGCACUGAAGGUCGGGAGUUCGAUCCUCCCUGGAGUCA